UAUUAUGUGGUAGAAACAAGAGGCCCUCCCCCUGAACAUGGCCGAGGGAGCGCUUGUGGGUAGAGAGAAGAGGUAGAUGAAAAUAAUUGUGUCUGGACCUCCUCUCCCUACCACGGGUGUCCUUUAUCCAAAGUAUCCCUUAAACCUUAUUCCAACCCACUGACAUGAUUUCCUUACUUUUCUUCUCUUCAUCCUGCUAGCUUCCAUAAAGGCAUCGCCAGAGCUGUAUUCGACUACCUAAAUCUCUCCGAUUGUAGCGGGUGAACUUUCCUGAGAAAAUCUCACAGCAAGUAAUUCAACUACUUCCAAGUAUGAACUUCCCGCUUCAAGAAGAUGUUAACAUCAGCUGUCUUUUUUAUCAUUUGCAGGAAUAUCACCAUGGUGUGCUGCUGUCUGCCAAUCGUACCAAAAGCGUAGCAUGGGAUUUAACUCAGCUGUAAAUUCUGCCCCACGUCAGGCUCCUUGAACA